CAUGUGUGUGAAGUUUCUUGUUCUAAAUCCACUCUGAUCCUGUAUUUGAUCAUGUCUAUAAACCCCUCUAUUUCAGCCCUGCUCAGAACAGGCUGUUUCUGUGUCUGUACCUUUAAAUAUGUAAAUGAGCUGUGUCUGACCACGCCCCCUCUCUGGAAGUGCUUGGGUGUACUCGGUGCUUUCUCGCUCCAUGUCCUAUUGUUUACAGUGAGAAGGCAGACUCAGAGGGCAGAACAAACACCUAGCUGUGGGAGUGUCACCCACCUGGGGGAGGGGCUACUGCCCUUUGUGAUGUCAUGAAGGGAAACUCUCCAAACGGCCUGUCUGCACACAUUUUCUGAAAAGUGGAGCAGGCAGAAGACGGAGAGGAUGGACUUUCUCAUCAUUGGGGGGUUUGUAGACGGACUAGAGACACAUGUUAGAGUCAGAGGAACAUGGGGAAGUAUGUUUUACGGAAUAUGUGACCUUUAAGGUUCGGUAGCGUUGUGUGUGUCUUACAAUACUACAAUUAAUUUUAUCCAAAGUGAAGAACAUCCGAGAGUAAGAACAACACAAGCAAGGAGAGAGCGAGAGAGGAGGAAACAACGUCAGGAAGUGUAAACAAACAGUUUUAAAUAUGAUUGGACACAACAGGUGCUGACAGGAAGGGACCAGAGACAAUGCACAACGGUGACAGAUGUUCUUGA